rnacentral:rRNA from 1 species
CCUACGGGAGGCAGCAGUGGGGAAUAUUGCACAAUGGGGGAAACCCUGAUGCAGCGACGCCGCGUGAGUGAAGAAGUACUUCGGUAUGUAAAGCUCUAUCAGCAGGGAAGAAAAUGACGGUACCUGACUAAGAAGCCCCGGCUAACUACGUGCCAGCAGCCGCGGUAAUA